AGUGGUUAAGCGCUUGGCUGCUAACCAAAGGGUCGGUGGUUCAAAUCCACCAGCUGCUC
rnacentral:tRNA from 1 species